rnacentral:rRNA from 1 species
GACGUAGGAGACGAGCGUUGUCCGGAUUUACUGGGCGUAAAGCGCGCGCAGGCGGCCCCGCAGGUCGGUUGUGAAAGCCCCCGGCUCAACUGGGGAGGGUCACGCGAUACUGAUCGACUCGAAGGCAGGAGAGGGUAGUGGAAUUCCCGGUGUAGUGGUGAAAUGCGUAGAUAUCGGGAGGAACACCAGUGGCGAAGGCGACUACCUGGCCUGUUCUUGACGCUGAGGUGCGAAAGCGUGGGGAGCAAACAGG